UCGAGGAUCUUCCGCAAUGGGCGCAAGCCUGACGGAGCGACGCCGCGUGUGCGAUGAAGGCCUUCGGGUUGUAAAGCACUGUCGAGGGGGAGAAAGCGUAAGUUGAUCGACCCCUGGGGGAAGCACGGGCUAAGUUCGUGCCAGCAGCCGCGGUAAGACGAACCGUGCGAACGUUGUUCGGAAUCACUGGGCUUAAAGGGCGCGUAGGCGGUCAGUCAAGUCAGAGGUGAAAGCUCCCAGCUCAACUGGGAAAGUGCCUUUGAUACUGGCUGGCUAGAGCGAGGUAGGGGCAUGUGGAACUUCCAGUGGAGCGGUGAAAUGCGUUGAUAUUGGAAGGAACGCCGGUGGCGAAAGCGACGUGCUGGACCUCUUCUGACGCUGAGGCGCGAAAGCUAGGGGAGCAAACGGGAUUAGAUACCCGCGUAGUCC
rnacentral:rRNA from 1 species